rnacentral:rRNA from 1 species
AACGCAGCGAAGGGCGAUAAGUAAUGUGAAUUGCAGAAUUCAGUGAAUCAUCGAAUCUUUGAACGCACAUUGCACCCUUGAGUAUUCUCAGGGGUAUGCCUGUUCGAGCGUCAUUGCAACCCUCAAGCACUGCUUGGUAUUGGAUGCCAUCAACUGUGGUGCAUCUCAAAAGUAUUGGCGGCAGCGUUCAGCUUCUAGUGUAGUAAUUUCUCGCUCUGGAGUUUUUGAGUGCCUGUCUGCUAGAACCCCUAAUUAUUUAAAAGGUUGACCUCGGAUCAGGUAGGGAUACCCGCCGAACUUAA